UAAGGAAUAUUGGACAAUGGGCGCAAGCCUGAUCCAGCCAUGCCGCGUGAAGGAUGAAGGCCCUAUGGGUUGUAAACUUCUUUUGGUAGGGAAAAAACCCCUCGAUGCGUCGGGGGCUGAUGGUACCUACAGAAUAAGGAUCGGCUAACUCCGUGCCAGCAGCCGCGGUAAUACGGAGGAUCCAAGCGUUAUCCGGAUUUAUUGGGUUUAAAGGGUGCGUAGGCGGAUGAAUAAGUCAGUGGUGAAAGCCUGCAGCUUAACUGCAGAACUGCCAUUGAUACUGUUUAUCUUGAAUAUAGUUGAGGUGGGCGGAAUAUGACAUGUAGUGGUGAAAUACUUAGAUAUGUCAUAGAACACCGAUUGCGAAGGCAGCUCACUAAGCUAUGAUUGACGCUGAGGC
rnacentral:rRNA from 1 species